UUUUUUUUUUUUUUUUUCUGUUUGUUUUUUUUGGGUUUAGCUUUUAUGUAAAUGGAUAUUCUACCAAAGAAUUGAAAUCUGAACUCAUAGUGACAAUCAUGUAAAUACUAUUCAGUGUUGCCUAGAAUUUAGGGGAAGUUGUAUUUUACGAGGUUGUAAGAAUACAAACCUCUACCAACUAGUUUGACCUCUUGAAUUUGCAAGAGUUUCUGAUAUGUUAAUGAUUUUUCAAAAUUUUUCACCACAAAAUUCAUUUUAUUAAUGUCUUCGGAUGUUAAUCAAAAAGUUAAAAUGCUGAGUUGAGUUGGGCCAUAUCCUGAUCUUGCUUAGCCGUAUAAGUAAGGAUGAGAGGAAAAGGCCUUACGCAUUGACCAACUAUGUUUCAUCAACUGUAUAAAUUGUCCUUUCUUUCUCUCCCCUUCUUUUGUUCUUUUAUCUGUUAGCCGUCAUUUGUUUUCUACCGAGGUAUCAUGUUCUAAAGAUGGUAUUGAUGUGCAUGCCAGUCGGCUUGUUUUCCUUUGAUUGCAUUUCAACUUGUGCUUGUAAUUUUCUUCUUAUUUUUGCUAUUA
rnacentral:misc_RNA from 1 species